CAAAUCUCCAUUAUUGAAUAUUCACAAAUUGUAUUAUCUCCUCAUCCAAUCCCCAGUUCCAGUGAGGCGCAUACUUUGCAUGAGCAAAUCUCCAUGAUUGAACAUUAACAAAUUGUAUCAUCUCCUCAUCCAAUCCCCAGUUCCAGUGAGGCGCUUACUUUGCAUGAGGGAAUAAAUUAUGAGGAUAUUCAAAGUCCAAGUCUUAUUCAGCUAUACAAAAAAAAGGAACCAAAUGAC